CUAAUUAUUACAUAUACAUUGGGUUUUCGGUCUUAUGACCCAUGCAAACAUUCAAAGAAUUUUACUUUUUUCAUCAGAUACCACUGUGUCGGGCAAAUUGCAUACCACGACUACAGCAACCCUAGAUGGACUCCUGGCCACUUUAUUCUGUUCAGCAAAAGCUGUUUUGGUGUUCUCUGGAUCGAACUUUCCUCUCUAAGUGUCUACAGCCGUGUGGAAAACUGACUUCAGUUGGUCUUUCGUCGUCUGUGUUUGUGGAGCUGUAGAGCAUGGUAACUAUGGAAAUUUAAAAGAUUCUAUGUAUUCAUGAUAUAGUAUUUACAGCAACGUCGAAAAAUAUCAAUAUACAUUUAUUAGACCUAACCAAGGGCAGUUGCGAAAACUGCAACUAUGGGCUCUCUGGCUGGAAUCGAACGUGCGACCCUAAAUGAUGAUGGUUUGCAAACCAAAGGGGGUGUAUGUUUUGAACGUGAUGGUAUGGUUUGAACUCUAGGUCUGGGACGGGGUAUAGAAUGUGUGUAUUUCGGUCUGAAAUAGGAUACCUAUUUGUCAUUAUAUCGUAGAUAAUUGUAUCAAAUAACAAGCACGGGUUUGGGAUGUAGGGUAUGGAAAAUCGUCUUUUUUGUUUAGGAUAAGGUUUUCAGGUUACGGCGGACAUACCAUGCAUCCAAAAAUCGCCAGAGUACAAGAAAAAGUGAGGAGCUAGGGUUCCCUUGAGGAUAGCUCUGUGGCAGUGAAAUCGAAAAACCUGCAUCAUUCCUCUGGCUCUCAUGGAUAAGCAUAAAGUAGUCGCGAGAAUAUGUUUCGCACUUAAGGUGGCUCCCUACAGUUGUGAAGAAACAGUAGCGAAAAAUAAGGUCUACACAAAGACGCAAAAUAUUACCUAUUUAUGUGAAGUGGGGAUUUUUUUGGAAGUACAAACGCCUGUGUAAUAUUUAUACUUCAAGCAUUUAUAAUAGUUCGAACGAAGCAAAUUGUGUGUUGCUAUGGUAACAAUGUGGCUUAAGCGACAGCAGGCAAAGAUCAAAUUUUGGAGUAAAAAUGAAUUUAUUGAAAUUUCCUUCGGUCAAAGUUUCAAAAAUAGUCAUCCAUUGGAAGGUUGGACCGCCGCCUGGCUAAAUGCUUGCUUACUAGCUAAUAUUAUUCUGUGAUAUGGUUUUUUUUUUUUUCUUUACCAUUUGUUUUGACUUAGAAAUUUAGUCGCGGAGAAAGAAAGAAAGAAAGAAUCCAGAUAUACUGAUAUAGAUUGCAGAAAACACCGAAGCAAUACCUAAUAUGCCUAUGGCCGUUCAGAAUAGAGCGACAUGAACUCGUAACCAACAGAAAACUAUAGCUAAUUGCAGCAAUUGGAUAACUAGAUUAAUUUGUGUAGACAAAACAUAUAACAUGUACUUUGCAUUUGAAGUAUACUAUAGAUAAGUUUUACUGAAUUUUUCAGCACUUAUUCUUGUAUUUUCACCACAUUUUGUAAUGUUUUUUAACGUUUCAAAUUACUUAAAUCCUUUUUGUAUACAUGUUUUGGCGCCAUUUCGGUGUCAUGCGGCAUUCAUCGUUAAUGAGAUAAUAUAGUUAGUUUGAUAUUUAAAUGGAUUGAAUUUAUGAUGUUGUUUCUAUAGUUCUGAAAACCCGAAAAAUCUUGAAAGAAUCAACUCAACUCGACUUUUUUUUAAAUGUUUUUAACUUGGAAGUUUGCUUUUUUGGUGAAAAAGAAUUCAGAUGAAAAUGUUGUUGUGUACACCUAGGUAGAGGCAUAAUCACGUCAUUUGGAAACAGAAAAUCAUAAAUUGCAAUAUUUUACGUUAUCUUAUGUAGAUAUAUAUCAAACCAACUAUAAUACCUC